rnacentral:rRNA from 1 species
UAACCUGCCCAAGAGACUGGGAUAACACCUGGAAACAGAUGCUAAUACCGGAUAACAACACUAGACGCAUGUCUAGAGUUUAAAAGAUGGUUCUGCUAUCACUCUUGGAUGGACCUGCGGUGCAUUAGCUAGUUGGUAAGGUAACGGCUUACCAAGGCAAUGAUGCAUAGCCGAGUUGAGAGACUGAUCGGCCACAUUGGGACUGAGACACAGCCCAAACUCCUACGGGAGGCAGCAG